AUGGUCCUUUUGGAUGCACAGGGCAAUCACAUGUACGCUGAGGUCCCAGAGAAGAAUGUUGAUAGCUUCAUCGAUCGUAUCGAAGAGGGGAAGAUAUAUGACAUCCGAAAGUUCCUGGUGUUCCCAAGGAAAUACGUUUUUAGACCGGUGGAGGGUCAUUCAAUGAUAAAGUUUACGAAGCGCACUGAGCUUGUGGAGAGGACUGGAAUGGAGGCGGAGUUCCCCUUCUGUACGUAUGCGCUUACUCCGAUAGCUCACCUCCCCAGGCCAGCAGACAUGCCUGAGCGCUUUACAGAUGUCAUUGGAUUGGUUACUGGAAUUUCUGAAGCUGUUCAGUAUGUUAGUGCAAGCAGGACUGAGCCUUCUACUAAACGAGUUAUUCAUUUGAAAGAUCUCACGGGUCAUCAGAUCACUGUCAUACUGUGGGAGAAGCAGCCCUGA
rnacentral:rRNA from 1 species